AUGCUCUCAUCAUGGCUAAUCCCUUGUUCUUCUUUUUUGCUCCUUAUAACUCUGCCAGAAGAAUCCCUCAUCUGUGGUUCCUGUUUGAACAACACACAGAAAAAGACAUUGUUAGAGCACUCUCAAAAGGAAGAGAUCUUGAAGCCCCCUGCUGAUUGUAUGGGGUGGAUUCUGAAUUCUCAACCCUCACGUCCCCUCAGGGCCGUCAGGACCGCCACCAUCAGCCCAGGUAAUCCCUAAUAGCUUUACUGCAGACCUAUCCCAAAAUAUCCAACAACAAACCCACCCCUACACUUCCAUCUACCAAGCUUACCAUAUGCCACACAAUUAGACCAUGUUGAGUAAACAUCACUUAACCCACUUUAAAGCUGAUGAGCUAAUUGAGUUUAAUUACAGUCCCACUGUUAUUGCAAGAAUGCCUGGAGGGAAGGAAUUUGUUCUAAUUAAGAGGCUGCUGUUUGAGGUGCUGCUGUGUCAUGAAAUCCAUUUCUGGGAUGAAGACCUGUACUUCACUCUGAGAGUUUUAUACAUUUGAUAUCACAUCAGGACAUUGCUGUCAUUUAGAGGAAUCAGAAAUAAUCAAUAAUCAAAUAAUCAUACCCAAGGAAGGAAAUAGCUUGCUGUGUUCAUAGAUGAAAAUAACUAAAGGGAUUGUUGACCCACAAAUGAAAAUUCAUCAUUUACUCAACCUAAAAGAUGAAAACUAGUCAUCAUUUACUCACCCUCAUGUUCUAAUGAUAAAAAACAAAGAUAUGAUAGGAUUCUUAAGAUUUUGUUAAUAGUAACCAAUGUUAAUGGUAACCAAAAUAUUACCAACAUUUUUGAGUCAGAAAGCGUGAGAAGUAUCAAAUUAUGUCAGAAUUCAAACAUUUAUAAAAUAUUACAGUUGUCAUAGACAAUAUUUGUAAUGUUAAACAUAAAAAUAAAUGCAUAUCCAAAAAUAUACGAUUAAAAAUGGUUAACUUUUUGCCCUCUACAACAGUAAAGAAAGCUUUCCUCAUGAACACAGUAUGCAUAAUUUUUACUUUCAUGCUUAUCAAUAACAGAAAAAAAGGUAUAAUCCAUUCGAGCACUAAUACUAAAGCAUUCUGGAAAAUGAAAUUCUUUUUUUGUGUGUGUUAUUGUCAGUGUGUACUGCCAUUGACCCAUUUUAAAUUGAAAGGCAUUCUUCUUAUCAUAGUAAUAUAAGGAAGUUUUGAAAUAAAUUUCUCUUAAGAAAUGUCCUUGUGGGUUGUGUUCAUGUUGUUGCUUACGACUGUUGAGCCAAUAUCUACAUGUAUUUUUAAGUUACUGUACAUCUAAUCUGAGACACACUAUGAAGUUUUGUUUAAAUUUUAGGCCUUUUUUUACAUCUCACUCCUGCUGUUACUCAGCUUGAGCAUGUAAGUUUAAAUAAAUAAUUAAAUUUAUUUAAUUUAAUUUAAAUGAAACUUCAAGUUUUAAUUUAAAAAUGUAGAUAUGCACUGGUUUUCAACACACAAGUCUAUGUUUUUUUAAUCCAUUUCUACCAUAAGUGUGUUAUUGAUGUCAUUUAGGUCAUUUUGAAUGGCCUUGAAACACAAACCAUGUCCAUAUUGUCUGAGCUGCAUGGUCCUGUGGCUGAUAAGAUCCCAAGGCGGCAGCUGGGCAGAGGCUGAGCUGUUCGCGAGGGUCCACCCGGCUCAGUUUACAGUGACAGCUGGCCUGCCGAUGGUGGGGAAAAAGGGAGAGGCCAGGGUGUGAGGGCUGUUUCUGAAUGGGACAGUGUAAGAGGACUACUUGUUGUAUAAGGCUGGGGAUUACCUUUGCCGAGACCUGGAGUAAAACAUCCCUGAGGGACGCUGUGCUGUGUUGUGAAAGCUUAAGGCUCAUGGAUGAUGCGUAGUUUACUAGGAUAGAGUGGGGAUUGCCAUGUAAAUAUGAAAAUAUGUGUAUGGUCUCAUAACAGUAAACAAAGUGAAUUUUAAAUAAUAUAACAAUGCAAAAGAAAUGUUGGGAGAUUUAUGUUUUAUAUUAACUGACUCUGUCUUGCAUCAUAUAUUUUUUUCUUUCUCUUCCCCGUCGAUCCUCAGCUCUGGGAGAGGGAAGAAUGGGAUGAAUUUUGAACCCUGAGCUUUGGGGCAUCCGGUCGAGGCCUGGACACUAAUACUCAUGGCUUUCCGAGAGAUUUCCUGAACCUGCUGGCCCACGCUGUGAAUAAAGAUGCGGAAAAUUAGUCUUGGCUUCAAUCCAUAUUGUUUAUUUAUUUAUUUUUUUGGAUUAUGUGUUUCCAUUAGGUCUCAGAAUAGUAUUUAUUUUGGAGCAACCUCAUAGAUUAUUUUAGACAUGUCCCUCAACUGUAGGUCUCAGUCUUCCCAGAAAUAGCCAUUCACCCUCAGGCUUGCCCUCCUGGCCAAAUUUACCAACCACAAAUCAACAGGCCACCUUGCUUACC
ensembl:lncRNA